rnacentral:rRNA from 1 species
AUUGAACGCUGGCGGCAGGCCUAACACAUGCAAGUCGAGCGGAUGAAGGGAGCUUGCUCCUGGAUUCAGCGGCGGACGGGUGAGUAAUGCCUAGGAAUCUGCCUGGUAGUGGGGGAUAACGUCCGGAAACGGGCGCUAAUACCGCAUACGUCCUGAGGGAGAAAGUGGGGGAUCUUCGGACCUCACGCUAUCAGAUGAGCCUAGGUCGGAUUAGCUAGUUGGUGGGGUAAAGGCCUACCAAGGCGACGAUCCGUAACUGGUCUGAGAGGAUGAUCAGUCACACUGGAACUGAGACACGGUCCAGACUCCUACGGGAGGCAGCAGUGGGGAAUAUUGGACAAUGGGCGAAAGCCUGAUCCAGCCAUGCCGCGUGUGUGAAGAAGGUCUUCGGAUUGUAAAGCACUUAAGUUGGGAGGAAGGGCAGUAAGCUAAUACCUCGCUGUUUUGACGUUACCAACAGAAUAAGCACCGGCUAACUUCGUG